AGAAGAGGAAGUCCCAGCCCUACACAGGUCACACCACCCAAACUCUGCGGCUGCAUUUCACAGGAAACCAAACCUAAAAGGACCUAGGAGGAGGGUUCUGCUAAAGGACACUGCUGAACAUUGAGAAUUUUUCAGCCCCCUGCCUCCUGGAUUACCGGCUCCUGGAGUUCUCCGUAAUGCCCUCACGGACCCCUCACGCAAGGGACAUCUCAGCACAAGGCUGUUUGCACUCCCGACACUGCUCAGGCUGAGUUGAAGAUCCCUCUCAUUUGCCGGGUGCCAAGAAAGAUGAACAGACCGGGCAAUAGAAAAAUAGCCAAAGAAGGAGCCAGUGAUUUGAAAUUCCAG
rnacentral:lncRNA from 1 species